AAGGUCACAUGCUUCAAACUUGUAUCUAUAAAACCAGUCAGAGCUAAAAAAAUCUGCUAAACUCCAGCUUGGCUUGGCUUGCUGUUUAGUUAGUUUGUGUUUCUGUCUGGAAAAUGAAAGCAGUGAUUGUAUUAGUGGCAGUAGCCAGUCUUCACUGUUUUGUUGCCCAAGGCUUGCCUGAACCAGUUUCAUCUUGUAAACACAAUGGACA
rnacentral:sRNA from 1 species